GGAUAGCUCAGUUGGUUACAGUGUGGUGCUGAUAACGCCAAGGUUGCAGGUUCGAUCUCCGUAUGGGACA